rnacentral:rRNA from 1 species
AUGGCUCCUCGAGACCGCAGGACGACCCGAUCAAAAGAUUUCCUCCUGAGCUCCGGAACGGCGACCGUGGCCGUGAAGUCACCCUGCGCCGUCCCGGACACGCCGCCGGUCCCGUUCGCGUACGGGGGGCUGCUGUACCAGCAGAGCGGCGGGCGGCGGAGGUGGCGCGAGUGCACCGUCGUGCUGGGCGCCGUGGCCAUGGUGGCGCUCUUCGUCACCCACGCGCUUCUCCCAAGGGCCAGCGUGUUGUCCGAGGAGACGCCUGGGGAGACACGAGCGGAGCAGAACAUCAUGGUCUCCGCCGGCGCCGAUGCCGACGGGUUCCCGUGGAGCAACGAGAUGCUGCAGUGGCAGCGCACCGGGUUCCAUUUCCAGCCCGAGAAGAACUACAUGAACGAUCCCAACGCUCCCAUGUACUACCGUGGACGGUACCACUUCUUCUACCAGUACAACCCCACGGGCGUCGUCUGGGGCAACAUCACCUGGGGCCACGCGGUGUCGCGGGACCUGGUCCACUGGCGCCACCUUCCCCUCGCCAUGGUGCCCGACCAGUGGUACGACAUCCACGGCGUCUUGACGGGCUCCGCCACCAUACUCCCCAACGGCACGGUCAUUGUGCUCUACACGGGGAAAACCGACACCUCCGCUCAGGUCCAGUGCCUCGCCCUUCCCGCCGACCCAGAUGACCCUCUCCUUGUCAACUGGACCAAGCAUCCUGCCAACCCCGUCAUCCUCCCGCCCCCCGGCAUCGGCCUCCAAGACUUCCGCGACCCCACCACCGCCUGGUUUGACCAGUCUGACCUGACAUGGCGCACCCUCAUCGGCUCCAAGGACGACAACGGCCAUGCCGGCAUCGCCUUGAUGUACAAAACCAAAGACUUCAUCAGGUACGAGCUCAUCCCGAGGGUGCUCCACCGCGUCGAGGGCACUGGCAUGUGGGAGUGCGUCGACUUCUACCAGGUCGGCGGCGGCAACAACUCCUCUGAGGAGGCCCUGUACGUGUUGAAGGCGAGCAUGGACGAUGAACGGCAUGACUACUACGCGCUUGGGAGGUAUGAUGCGGCGACCAACACAUGGACACCACUGGACCCAGAGCUGGACGUGGGGAUCGGGCUGAGGUAUGACUGGGGAAAGUUUUUCGCUGCCACGUCUUUCUACGACCCGGUGAAACGGCGGCGCGUGAUGUGGGCCUAUGUCGGCGAGACCGACUCCUUGAGUGCCAACGUUGCCAAGGGAUGGGCUUCCGUCCAGACGAUUCCGAGGACGGUAGAGUUGGAUGAGAAGACCCGGACGAACCUCCUCCAAUGGCCGGUGGAGGAGAUCGAGACCCUCCGCUUCAACAGCACCGACUUUGGCGUCAUCACUAUCCACAAUGGAUCCAUUAUACCUCUCUGCCUCCGCCAAGCCACCCAGCUUGACAUCGAGGCCUCCUUUCGCCUUGACACUUCCGCUAGUGCCAUCAUCAACGAGGCUGACGUCAACUACAACUGCAGCACCAGCGGCGGAGCCUCAACCAUGGGUGUGCUUGGUCCCUUCGGCCUCCUCAUCCACGCUACUGGUAAUGGUGGCAGCGAACAACUCGCGGUUUACUUCUAUGUAUCGAGGGGCCGUGACGGGGCACUCCGAACCCACUUCUGCCAUGACGAGUUGUUGUCGUCUCGGGCGAAUGAUGUCAUGAAGCGGGUGGUGGGCAGCACAGUGCCGGUGCUCGACGGCGAGGCUCUAUCUGUGAGGGUGCUCGUGGACCAUUCGAUUGUGGAGAGCUUCGCAAUGGGCGGGAGGUUGACGGCCACGUCGCGGGUGUACCCGAUGGAAGCCAUCCACAUGGCAGCGGGGGUAUACCUUUUCAACAACGCCACCGGCUCCUCCAUCACCGUCGAGAAGCUUGUAGUUCAUGAGAUGGCCUCGGCAUCUUACAAACAGACUUUCGGGGCCGCCGACGCCUAG